CGGACGGGUGAGUAACGCGUGGAAAACCUGCCGUAUACUGGGGGAUAACACUUAGAAAUAGGUGCUAAUACCGCAUAAGCGCACAGCUUCGCAUGAAGCGGUGUGAAAAACUCUGGUGGUAUACGAUGGCUCCGCGUCUGAUUAGCUAGUUGGUGGGGUAAUGGCCUACCAAGGCAACGAUCAGUAGCCGGCCUGAGAGGGUGAACGGCCACAUUGGGACUGAGACACGGCCCAAACUCCUACGGGAGGCAGCAG
rnacentral:rRNA from 1 species